rnacentral:lncRNA from 1 species
ACAUCCUCUUCCCAUUGAUGUCUCUAAGAAACGUAUGUAGUUAUGCCUUUCAAUCCAUGAUGUCCUAUUUGUAGACUGUGUGUUCCGGUUAAUAUCAUCUUUCCGUUUGCACAAGAUCACUGAAACCCAAACACGCUCACAGUUUACUCAUGAAAUGGCGAAUCAGCAACUGUAAUCGUCUUCGUUUCUGGGAAGCUCCGAAUUUAAAGCAAUGAGAAGAACUCACUGGUGUUGAUAUGGUUUUUGUCAAUGGAAAGGUUUGUAUAUUAUGAUUUUGUUUGGUUGAAAUACUUCUUCAAUUGUGAAAAACAAACACUUUACUGUUUACAUUCUUUUUUCACAGUCAAGCAUGAUUCGAGGGUUUAUCAAUGUCCACCGACUCAACUCCUACAAACAUAUCCUAAUAGAAGGAAUUUUUUUAUGAUUUACGAGCUUAGCCUG